AAGACCUAAUCAGCGAUGGUGGACUGUCGAGUCUUGGCCGACCUCCGUGUCCACCCUUGCGGUUGUCCCGGCGGCCAAGCAGCAGAUUUGGAAACGCCGAGCAGCGGGCUUCUCUCCUGACCUCGCCGCCAAAUCUGGAAGUGAGGCACCGGUUGGAGGCAACGGCUGAGCUGGCGAGAUGCGGCGCCGUCAACUCCGACUCCGCCGGUGGCGAUGGCAGGAGGAGGAGGCCCGGAGGCAGGACUCGUGGCUGCAGAUGGAAGGAGAGGAAAAGAGAAGAAAUCCGCGUGGAUUUGGGGACUUUAAUUCAUUUCUCUGAUAUUCCACGUGUCAGUUUUUAUUUAAAGAAUAAAUGAGCGCAUUGUAUAAUACAAGUGAUGGUUGAAUUUCUUUGUAGUAUUAAUGUGGCCUGUUCAUUAUAAACCUAAUUUCUUUUCACUGCAGGAUUUUCCUGUCUUUCAUAUUUUAUCCUUAUCGUCUUGUCUGACGCUCUGAAAGGGAGAAGAAAGCCCUGACUUUUUCUUUUUUUUUAUCACUUCUAGGUAGUGAAAUCCGGUCGAGGUCGCUCCCAUUGGUUGAUCCUGCAUGAUUAGUUCCGCUCCGAUUCAAAAUUCUGUGGUUCGGGUGCAGAUCGGUUCUUUCUUGUUUCCAGCCUUUGAGUUCUGUAAUGGCCGGUGAAGUCUCAGUGACCCUUACUUACAGCAGAAGUAAUGGGUCUCCAUCUGAUCCCAAGGACCCUCUGACUACUUGUUGCCGCAACUUGAGUGUAUUGGCAAGGAUGGAAAACUUCCCUGGAAUCUGCCCUCUGAUCUCAAAUAUUUUAAGAGCUGAUCCUAGGAAAGAGAAUGCAGUCAUAACGGGUAGAAAAGCAUGGGGAAGUAUUCCUGCUGAGCAUAGGCCUCUACAUGUUGUUCUCACUCAUCGUAAGAAUUUUAAUAUUGGGACUGCAGAGAAUGUCGUCAAAUAUGGAAUCAUGUGUAUUGCCUUGUAUUUAUUGCCUUUGUUGUUAUCUAUUGAGAAAGUUUCUGUCAUUGGCGGUGGCCAGAGGUUUCUGAACAUUUGUUCAUAACUACAAUUGCCUUUGGGUUUUUCUCUUUGCACCUUAGUAACUUUUCUCGUUUGGUGCAAGGAAGCUCAAUGCUCCUGGAUGUGAUGCUAUCCACAUAACAGAAGUUGAGACACCAGUUGAAUUUGACACUUUUUUGCCCAUGGUCGAUACAUCUGUCUUUCGAUCAUGGUACUUGUCCUUUCCCAUCGUUGUACACAACAUCCAGUAACUACUUAUGUCCGUGUAGGAUGUUCUGUAGUGGUUUUCUGCCUCACAAAAAUUGUAUGAUCUUCAAUGGUAAGGCAGGUUCUGUUAAAUUUGAGGUGGAGAAUUUUACCUUUCUGCUCUAGAUGAUUUUUUUAGAGACAUGAACAGUACCUGUAUUAGAGAUUAGUCGAAGAGGUACUGUUAGAUGGCACUCCAAAGGAUGACAGGACUGAAACUGGUACUGCAUCAAAAUUUCGAUGCCAGAUGCGGUUCAAUCUGCACAGAACGAGAAAAUAUUGGGUGCACCGGGCGGUCCACGUCACCGUGCGCCCGCCCAAUCAGGAUUCGACAUGUGUCGCCACGUGGCUCCACCUGAGCCGAGGCCCACCUUUAGUUUUCAGUUAAAUUUUUGCUGCUUCUCUCUCUCAUUUAAUGCUUCGUCCUUUUCUCUGCACGAUUUCUCCCGUUUGCACGCAAGCGUGCGUCCCUUCCCCUCCCAUUCUCUUUCAAAAAAUUUUGUCCCUGCAUUUUUUCUCCAUGAAAGCUGCAACGCCAUCUCUCUCAACCAAACGCUCGCCGGUUGCCUCCAAGCUUGGCUGCCUCUACCGUCGCCGUCAAGAGCCACUCGCUCCCAAGAACCCCGCCGGUCGUGGUUGAGUCCCAACAAUCUCCGCCUCGGCCUCUUCAGCGAGCGUGGACACCCAAAAAGCCUGCUGCUUGCCUCCAAGCUCGAUCGCCUCCGCUGUCACCACCAGGAGCUACUCGCUCCGAAGAGCCCUGCCGGUCGUGGCUGCGUCCCAAGCUCUGACCUUCUCCGCCUGUGCCUCCUCAGUGAUCGCAAACACCCAAAAGCUCACCAGGCGCGUCUGAGCUCAGCCGCCUCUGCCAUUGCCACUUUCUCCCAAGAGCACCUUCUUAUGAAUCUUACCUGCUGAUGUGUGGGAACUCAAGUUACUUUAACAGUUGGUCGUCCAAAUUUAUUUUGGUGGACUCCAGAAUUUACUCUUAAAGCCUUAUCCUCCCGAUCAAGAAUCUGCAAAUGAAAAUCCUAUCCAAAUUACGAUGCAUCACUGUAGAUGUCACUGGCACGCUCAUGGCCUACAAAGGGGAGCUUGGAGACUAGUACUGCAUGGCUGCCAAAUCAGUCGGUCUUCCAUGUCCCGACUAUAAGUGCAUCCAUGAGGGCUUUAAACUUGCAUAUACAGAAAUGGCAAAAAAAUAUCCAUGCUUCGGAUAUGCUGCCAAAAUGCCAAACAUUGUAUGGUGGAAAACUUGCGUGAGAAAUUCAUUUGUCCAGGCAGGUUAUGAGUAUGAUGAAGAGACAUUUGAGGAGAUAUUUAGACGCAUAUAUGCAUCUUUCGGUUCAGCUGCACCUUACACCGUCUUUCCAGACUCCCAACCAUUCUAGAGAUGGGUUAUAGGGAUUUGUCCUAUAAUCGGUUAACAGGGAAAAUUCCAUUCAACAUUGGUUUCCUGCAAGUGGUCACCUUGUCAUUGCAAGGUAAUCAGCUGUCAGAGAAAAUUCCAUCUGUGAUUGGUCUCAUGCAGGCCCUUGCAAUCUUAGAUCUGAGCUGUAACAUGUUAACUGGACCCAUCCCUCCUAUUUUGGGAAAUUUCACCUACACAGAAAAGUUGUACUUGCAUGGCAUGGCAACAAACUGACCUGACAAAUCCCUCCGGAGCUUGGAAAUAUGUCAAAGCUUCAUUAUCUGUAUGCUUAGUUUCUCAUAUAUUGGAUUGUUUUGAAGCUAUGCAUGUGAUUUCAUCUGCAUGGGGAGUCCAUUUCUGCAACUUUUUUACUGAUUGAGGAUCUUUAUAACUAUUUCAUUCUCCUGUUCUAUGUAAUUUUUCCAAGUCCGCUCUCAUGAUAAUUCUGGCAUCCUUCAUAAGCUUUAAUAAACAUUAAUUAGAAUACGUUCUGCAUGUUUCAGGCCACUUUGAACAUCUUCUCACCCCUAGCCUGACUAUUCUGUAAGUUUAUUGUUGUCCCAUUGUUGUCCCCAAUGCUGCAUAGAUUAUAAUGGUACUAUAUUUUCUUUGGAAAAUGUCAGCCUCUGGGAUCUUCUCCAUGGUGAGUGAAGUUUCUUUUUAAUGACUUGGAUGUCCUGCUCAAGAGCCUCUUAGGUGAAUAUGCGUGUCAAAACUUUUUCCCAUCAUACGUGAGAACUAGAUUGAGCGAGCGUGAAAGAGUGAAAAUCUGAAGUGGCUUUAAAAUCUGGAGUGGCUUUUAUAGUACUCAUUUCACUCCUGCUAAAUUUUCUUCUGUUCAUGUAUAUUGAAAUCAUCUAAAAUAAACUGGUCCUAGUUUUUAAUUAUGUCAGGAUUCUUCCGACCAAAGAUCUUUACAAAUUAAUGAUUUCUGUAGGCCCUGCGAACAAAAAGAAGCUUGACUGGGAUACUCGUCUCAAGAUAGCACUUGGUGCCGCUGAGGGGCUUUCAUAUCUUCGCCAUGAUUGUAGUCCGUGUAUCAUCCACGGGGACGUGAAAUCGUCAAACAUUCUACUCGAUAAGGAAUUUGAGGCGCAUCUGACUGAUUUUGGGAUUGCAAAGAGCCUGUGCACAACGAAGUCCCAUACUUCUACAUACAUAAUGGGGACCAUUGGCUACAUAGACCCAGAAUAUGCCCGCACUUUUCGCCUCACAGAGAAGUCAGAUGUCUAUAGCUGUGGAAUUGUUUUACUAGAGUUGCUGACUAGCAGGAAAGCAGUGGACAAUGAAUCCAAUCUCAAUGCAAAAUUAAAGCAAGAUUUGGCAAAAUAGAAGAAAGAAAAUUCUAGAUUGAAAAUGUUGGUUGUGCUGUUGUUUAUAGUAAUUUUAGCUUUAAAACUUGACAUAUUGUGAGAUUUGGCAAACCUAAAGAUGUUGGUUGGGUUGUUCGUGAGUUUUAGUUGUUGUUUGUAAAUAUAUGUGCAUUUUGUUUGUAGGAUGAAUAAAGUGAACAUUUAUGUUGGCAUAUCAUUAAAUUUGUUUUAC